rnacentral:tRNA from 1 species
GCUCCCAUGGCGUAUUAUGGUGGUCACUGCGCUCGCCUUGCACGCGGGAGACCCGGGUUCGAUUCCCGGCGGGGUUA